rnacentral:lncRNA from 1 species
CAAAACCAAGCAGAAGCGCUCAGAAGCACCCUUGUCAGAACACUGGGAGAGAGACGUUGACAGCCACCAACCGAAUGCUGAACAAAGGCGGAGGAAACUGGAAAAUGGUAGGAAAGCCUUGUUGUAUUUUCACCCGCUCCUGCCCGGUCCCCUUCCUGGCCUGGCAGCCCCAUUCCCAGUGUGGGAGCAGGGUCCCCGGCUCAGGACGGUGCACGGCCGACCUCACUUGCCAAUUAUUAGGUAUGUCCACUCUCGCCUAUCUAGGGCCUCUCCAGAGGGCUGACACAAGACCGUUUGCCUGACUCAGAACGCAGGCCAGAAAAGCAGGGUGCCCUGCUGGGAGAAAAAGCAGCAAGGGAGGUCACCACCCAUAGGUGCUGGUGGCACAGACGCCAGGGGCAGAUUUCCCGUAAGCCGCCAAAGGCCUAGAGGAAAGCUGGGGGAGGUUCUUCAGGGGAAUUAGGACAUCCAGAAGCACCCUCGUGUAAAGGGGAAUUUGGAAAGCCACACGCAUGAUCAGGGCAAGACACACGCUCCGAGUAGAGCAGGGAAACCCUGAGUUUUCCCCUUGGCCUGGUCCCUGGGCUUCGUGUAAGCCUGUAAGUGUGGAAACAGCAACAACGUCCCUCUCUAGUGAUGCUUAGGAUUUUUUUGUCCUUAGUCUGUUUCCUAAUUCAGCUAAAAUAUUUAGCUGAAUCCAAAAUUAAAUCCACAAAACAAGUGUCUAUAUUAAAAGAAAUCUAGCUUCUAUCUCUGUACUUCCUACCACAUGUCCUCCUUGUUUUAACCACUUUUUCCAAAAAAAAAUGUCGUUUAUCUUACCAUAUAGGUUUGUUGUCAGUUUCUCCAUUUCCAACCCAGAGGACACAAUGCAUGCUUUUCUCCAUCUUUCUUCUUUUCGUUCUAUAAUACUUCUUUGAAAUAAUUCCAUAGUAGUAGAUCCGUAUUGAUAGCUGUAUGGUACUCCAUUGGGUACCACAAUUUAUUCUAAUCCGCCCCCCAUAGAAGAAUAUUGGAAUUGUUUUUCCGUCUGUUUUUUACUAUAAAAUAUCCUGCAGUGAUAUCAGUUUGUUGAUUGUAACCAAUGUGCAAUAAAAGCCAUUGAUAAAGGGAAGAGAGUGUGAAGCCCUUGGGACCCAUCUGUACUGUCUUUGCAAUUCUGCAAAUCUAAAUCUGUUAGCACAUUUUUAAAGUUUCUUUAAAAAUAAGAAAAAUAGGAGUUCCCGUGGAGGUGCAGCAGAAACGAAUCCGAUUAGGAAUGAGGAGGUUUCGGGUUCGAUCCCUGGCCUCGCUCAGUGGGAUAAAGAUCUGGUGUUGCUGUGAGCUGUGGUGUAGGUCACAGAUGUGGCUCAUAUCCCUCGGUGCUGUGGCUUUGGCAUAGGCCAUUAGCUAUAGCUCCGAUUCAACCCCUAGAGAACUUCCAUACGCCUCGGGUGUGGCCCUAAAAAGACAAAAUUAAAAACAAACAAACAAACAAAAAGCAGAUGACAUUAAUGGCGUCUUUUUUCAGGUCACUGAAGUGAACACUUCUUGCAUAUAAUGUGUUAUUUUUGAUGUGCUCCUUGCUACUGUUUGCUGAUAUUUAAGAUUUUUCACUGACGCACAGCAGAUUGGUUUGCAGUUUUCUUUCUCAGUGCAGUCUUUGACAUGUCUUUGGAAUCAGUGUUCCGUUUUCCUCUUUCUCUAUCCUCUGGAGUCGUUUUAAGUAGAACGGGGACUUUUCUAUUCUUUAACGGUGAGCUAGAAUGUCCCUGGGACCUUUUGGGGCGUGUGCUUCUUCACUCCUCAUAGUUCAUCUUCCAUAACAGUUGAAGACUGUUUAAACUUUCUGCCUCAACUGGAGACUAUUUUGGCAAGCUGUAAUUCUCAAAACCAAACAUUUCCUCUUGCAGUGUGUCUCUCUUCUCACCUAAGCUGGAAGCUCUUGGAGGGCAUAUUCCAAUAACAAUUUUAGGGUACCCAUCUGGUGUCCGACAAGUCAGUUCAAUUCCAGCAAUAAUAAUAUAUUAUAUAAACCACCUGGAGUUAGACAGACCCCACCAGUAAAGGCGCUCAGUCUUAUAAUACCGCCUCCACUGCAGAUGCCAGCUCCAAGUCAGGUCCUCAGGUCUACCUGAAAUUCUGACCAACUGCCUUUCCUGCAGCAUCCGCAGGUUCUGUAACUCCCCUUCAGUUCUGGUAUUUUUCUAGAACUACUCACAGAAUUCCUUGAAAGCACUACACUUAUUGGUACUGUUCUGUUCUAAAGAAUAUGCCCACAUGAAAGAUGGAGCUGGGCUCAGAACUUCCGUGCCUUCUGCAGGCGCCGCCACCCCCUCCCCCAGCACACCCAUGCCCACACCCCGGAAGCUCUGCCAGCCUCCUCCUUACAGCGUUUUUAUCUGGACGUGCCUUACGGAGGCUCAGUUGCAUCGCCGGCCACAGGAUUCCCAUCUCUCAGGAAACUCUCUGGGUGUCAGGAGCUCUGUGCCAAGAACUUGGGACAAAGACCAGGAACCUUUAUUUUAUGAGACCCCUGGGAGAAUACUGUGCAUUUCUUCAGUGCCCCGCUCGAGUUAUGCCUAGGUGUAGGUAGGUGUACAAUCUUUAUCUAUUAAGUUAUUGGAUACAAGAGUGACUGAACUGUAUUUGUUCCAGUUAGUAAGGCUGUGCUUUCUUUCGGGAAGGAAAGCCAACCUGGCCUCUGGGCCUGUUACUUGGUAAUGCUAAUGCGUUACAUUCCCUUCAGCCCCCCCACCCCCACCCCCCGCCCUGAAAGUGCCGGCUGCCCAAAGCCUUGCAGUCCAAAGACCUGAAAUCCUGAUUUUAAAAAUGCCAGUGUGAUCUUUUGAUCAAAGCUUUCCUUGUAGGGUAUCAAGUCUCCCCUUACCUGAAUGCAUGAAUCUUGAGUUGCCUCAAGUAGGAGAAUCUCUGAGAGAUGGUCCAAACAUCAGUUUUCUUCGUUGCUUUUUUAAUGACACAGGUACAUUUUGAGAGUUUUUAAUUGCAUUUCCCCUAAAGGUUGUAAAGUGUGUGUGUGUGUGUGUGUGUGUGUGUGUGUGUGUGUGUGUUUAAUCUCUCACACAUCCUGGUGGGAAACGUUCAAGUGCUCAGAUGGAACUACUUGAGACUAGCAACC